AUGUUUCGUGUUUGUUGUUUUCGCGGAACGGAAACGGUUUCAACUGCAGGAACAGACGCGUUUGCUCAAUCCACAUAGAAGUAACCCCAAAAUCUAUAUGUGUAGGCUAUGUUAUAUAGAAAUUAACAAGGAUUAAGAUUUAAUUUCUGUAAAUUAGAGGAAUGAAGAGAUGAAAGCGAGCAGCCAUGUUGUCAAACAUUAACUCCAUCUUCACCUCAUUCACCGCUCAGAGUUUCUUUCCUGCAGAUGAGAGGGGCUUCCGGCUGGAGAACAUGGCUGCUGCUUUGAGGAAAUCAAGCCUGGAAAACCAAUCGCAUUCCCUGACAUUUCCAGGUUUUCCAUGAGCCCGUGGGAACCCUGUCGAUCCUUUCUCCAGCCAAUCAG